AAAUUGAAGAGUUUGAUCAUGGCUCAGAUUGAACGCUGGCGGCAGGCCUAACACAUGCAAGUCGAACGGUAACAGGAAGCAGCUUGCUGCUUUGCUGACGAGUGGCGGACGGGUGAGUAAUGUCUGGGAAACUGCCUGAUGGAGGGGGAUAACUACUGGAAACGGUGGCUAAUACCGCAUAACGUCGCAAGACCAAAGAGGGGG
rnacentral:rRNA from 21 species